UGGGGAAUAUUGCACAAUGGGCGCAAGCCUGAUGCAGCAACGCCGCGUGAGGGACGACGGCCUUCGGGUUGUAAACCUCUUUUAGUAGGGAAGAAGCGAAAGUGACGGUACCUGCAGAAAAAGCACCGGCUAACUACGUGCCAGCAGCCGCGGUAAUACGUAGGGUGCGAGCGUUGUCCGGAAUUAUCGGGCGUAAAGAGCUCGUAGGCGGUCUGUCGCGUCUGCUGUGAAAACCCGAGGCUCAACCUCGGGCCUGCAGUGGGUACGGGCAGACUAGAGUGCGGUAGGGGAGAAUGGAAUUCCUGGUGUAGCGGUGGAAUGCGCAGAUAUCAGGAGGAACACCGAUGGCGAAGGCAGUUCUCUGGGCCGUAACUGACGCUGAGGAGCGAAAGCGUGGGGAGCGAACAGGAUUAGAUACCCUGGUAGUCCACGCCGUAAACGUUGGGCGCUAGAUGUGGGGCACCAUUCCACGGUUUCCGUGUCGCAGCU
rnacentral:rRNA from 1 species